rnacentral:lncRNA from 1 species
AGCCUAGUUUGGACAUAUUACGUAUAAGUAUUGCCAGUUCCAAGUGAAAUGAAGUCAGAAGAUGCUGUUAUUCACAGCGAAGACUUGUAUACAUCAACUUUUAUUGUACUAUGUUCUUACUAGUAGUAAGUUUACUUUUUCUCGUUAAUUUGUAUUUUUUUUAUUAACAGUAACUCUUUAAAUAUUGCCUUCUAUAUCAGUAAGGUAAAACAACAGUAGGUCGAAAAUUAAAGACAUGCAAAAUGAUUAUUUCUAUAUGAUAUAUGUAAUUUAUAUAAAAAGCGACACAUAUGUUCUUUCACCACUUUAUUUUUACCUUCGAGUUGUUUCUUUAAUGGUAUAUCAUAGUGUUUGUCACUUAAUUCUGUUUUCCUUUUCAGUUAUUGUUUCUUGUGACAUUCGGAUGUGUUUGACGAUGGAAGUUAAAAAGGAAUAUUUGAUUCUCAAAUGUAAAGUUAGCCGGUUAUUAUAUGUAGUUUCAUUUAAUAACCCCGAUAACAUAGAAGAAGGAUACUGUUUGACCCUGUUCCCUUUUCCAAAAUGUUUUUCUAUUGACAUGCAUAAUGCCAUUUCACAGGAUCGCAAAACAAACACCACUAUAUUAACAAUAAAUAGAAAAAUCGUUGGCAGAAUUAAUGGUCCUUGGACAUGUUUGCAUGGUUCACAGUGGGACCGAGCUGUUAUUAAUGUAACAGUGUUUGAAGACGGUAAUUUUAUUUUUAAACGUAUUCAUUAUUUUUUGUCACGUGAUAAGGUGCAAAAAAUCCUUUUAAGAACUGGAUCAAAUUAGAAGAAAAAAAUCAAAUAUGUAUUAAAGAGAAAGCAGAAAACAUAUAUUAUUAUAGCAUACACAAAUUGUCUAUAGGUAACACAUUCUGUUGAUGUCAUAUAGUUUCGUAUUGUGUUUGAGACCGUCUUACGUUUUCGACUUAAAACUCCUUUCAAUUUUCGUAUGCUGCGCAUGCCCGCGUGACGUCAUAUUCGGCUGCUAUACCUAGUUACAAUAGCAAAUGAUACCAAGUGUGGUGAAGAUUUUCCAAAUAAAGUUAUAAUAAUUACGUAUUUACGAUUUUUUAUUUUAUAUCACAUUUGUUACUCUUCCAAUAAUACUAGUUUUACCGUUCCGAAGAAACGAUAUAAAAUAAACUAAUUUUCUAAAAAUAUGGCAGAAGUCUUUUUUCAUGCAAAGUUAACUUCCAUGUCAUUAAGUCACAUGACUAUCAUAUGGUUAGUUGUUAUACUUACAGGUAAUUUGCAUACGGAAAAUCGCAUGCUCCUUACAGCUUUUUACCGAAAAAUAAAAUAUCAGUUAAUUUUUAUUUUCUGAAAAAUCUGUCUGUCUGUGGAAAUUACAGAAAAUACCCACCAAUCUCACUUCACAAUGCAUUAACUAAAGUAUUUUAGGAUUAUGUACCCUUGUGUUGAAUCAAUGCUAAACAUAUGGAAAUUUUAUAGAAAAUCAACAGCCUUUAUCUUUUUACUCGUAUAUUUUGCAAUUUGAUAACUAAAUAUAUGGUUAUUGCUUGCAUUGAUUUCCUGAAAACAAGUUUAUUAAUGUAGAAGUUGGUUAAAACACAUAAAAAUAUACUACAAAUCAAGUACCCCUUUUAGGGUGUGCUCGACUUUAGUAACUCAGGUGUUUUGAAAUUUACAGGUUGGUAAGAACUUUUUGUAAAAAAUAAACACUUGCAGAUCAUAGAAAAGCAAGUGAGUAAUCUCUAUGUUUUAAAUAUUAUAACAAAAAACUCUGGAUUAAAGGCUGUGAAUUUUCUAUAAAAUUUUGGUUUAUUUACCACAAAGUACUCUUUUUCUAUUAAAUGAAAUUAAACAGUAAAUUACAUUGCGUUGCAUCAAGCUGCCCCUUGGUGUAUGUACAAAAUAGCCUAUCUCUAUUAAUCGUUAUGUUUGUAGUUUUUAUACAAUUUAAGUUUGAAAAAUUCUUACACAAAUGGCUACAGAAGGGGUCAUAAACCUUAACAAAAUCAUGAAUAUAUACAAGACCAUACAAGGGUUCCAAUAUGCCUCAUUUUGAAAUGUGUACAACUUUUCCAAAACAAAAUAUCAAAUAAUAUUUUAUAUCUUAUAGUGGUAUAUAAAACCAUUUAACAUGUUUAACUCAUUAAGUCAUAAGUUUGAUCGCCUCUAACACUUUGAUCUAAAUUUCGGUAUCAAAUUUAUAACUAUUUCCGAAUGUUAACGACAUGUCAUUUCCGACUUUAGACCCAUUUCUUAGAUACAUGUAGGUCGAAAACACACGGAGCUUGUUUUUGUCAACAAAGGUGCCAUAGAUCUAAUGAAUUCAAAUUAAAAAAAAAUCAAAGAUCGAAAUGUAUUUCAGAUACAAUUAUUUUAUGCACAAGUAUACAUGUGACUUUCAAAAUAUUAGACAUGUCUAUAUUCAAACAUAUAAAAGGGAAAUUGGGAAAAAUAUGUUAAUAGGUCGAAAAAACAAUACACGAUGAUACUAUUGUUGUGAACAGGUUCUUUAUUUUUAAAUUAGUUAUUUCUGUUUUUGGAGUUAAAACUGUCUUCAUGCUUCAUGAGAUUUUGAAUUAUUUGCUCAUUCGGCUUAAGGCAUUUUCGAACGGACAUUGAUACAUACUUAGGUUAUUUAGUUCGUUGAAAUUACAUGAUACAGAAGAAAACACAUUUUUCGGUUCAUUUUAAAUUCGUCCAAUAAAAAAAAGUUUCAAUGAACUUAAUUAAUAUGCAUUUAUUAACCCAUGUUUCAUUUAGAAUAACAUGUCAGGUACUCCGUUUCAAGUCAUAAUUUCCUAGAAAAAAAAUCGCCUUCAUUUUUGGUUGUUACUCGUAUAAUUUGUAUUAUCGUAUAUUUAUUUGUAAUUGUAUUUUUCUCAUUUUAGCGAUGCUAGAAUCAGUAUCAGACAAUGGUAAGUAUUUAAAAGUGUACAUUUUGACAAAAAACAAUUAUUUGGUAAUACUCAUAAGACUGCAGUUGCUUAACGAUAUAAAAAUCAACUGUUUGAGUGAUUUACAUUCCAAAUACAAACUUUCAGUAACACUUAUACAAUAUAGUUUCAUAUCACUUUUUGAUAAAAUUACAAUCUUGUGUUGAGUAAUAUUUUUCUAGUUCGCAGUGUAACAUAGGAAGCGAAUAAGAAUUUUUUUUAACAAACGUAUGCUACAUGUGAAUCUAUUUCUUCUAGUCUUUUUGAGGACAUCACAUUGUUUGGUUUGGUUCGUAUUUUUCAUUUUUUGUUUUAAGUUUGGCAUAAUCGGUUGUUCUGUAGAUUGUCAUAUGUUUUGCUUUCAUUUUAUAUUAAAUGAUCAAACUCACAUUUGAUGGUUAUAUCUUUACAGAAAACUGUCGUGAGGAAUACAUGGCGUGGACAUUUAUUGGCGUUAUAAUUUGCCUUUUUAUACUAAUAAUUUCCAGGACACUUUUAAACAUGCUGAAAAGAAUAUUUUGUGAGUACGAUUAUACAAAUAAAAGCAACAGUAGUUUACCGGUGUGGUAAGGUCAUAAAUUGGUUCAGUUAAACCACAUCCGGUUUAAAACACAUUAACUGUAAGAUGAAAACAAAGAAACAACAGGAACAGUGCAGUUCAACAAAAACCCAACGACAAUAUACAUAAAAACGAUCUAUUAGAUAACAGCUGUAAUAUUUCUGGUUUAGUACAGGACAUUUAAGAAAAAUAUGGAGGAACUUGGUUAAAUGGCAAGCCAAGCCUGAAAUUUCACAAAUUUUACAAAAUAACUCUUAAAUGACAACAUUACGUGACAGAAAAACAACAAAAACACACAAAGAUCGUUAAUUCAAAAGAAACGUACACACAAAAAAAUAAUAGUCGACACAACAGCAAACCGCAGAACAACAUUUGGCUUUUGUUACCAGUGAGGUUAAAGACUGCUUUCCAGUAUGAAUUAAAUAAUUGAAAAAUCGCUAAGUAUGAGUACUGGGGCUACUUAGGUAUUUAUAUAUCAGGGAAUGAUUGAAUAAGAUAUUUUUUGUCAUCGUUAAAAAAAAGGAUAGGGAAUUUAUUGUGAAAACGUAAACAUGUAUUUAGGGUGCAAGAGUAAAAGCAUAAAAGCAAUAGUAAUAGACUUAUUUGUCCCCAUUUUUAGUGAUAAUUUGUUCCUAAUGCAACACAGAUGUUACUUUAAUUUGCUAAUGUUCAAAUUGCAAAAAUCUAUUCAAAAAUCUAUAUAAAGAUGUAACCGGAAGGAAUAUCAAAAUCACAGAAGUAGUGAUACUGAGUCCUUAGACCUUGGUUAAAAAGUCCAAAACGAACUUGUAAAUUCUUAACAUCUACUCAAGUCCAGCGCUCAUUAAAAAAUGUACACCAAAUGAUUAAUAUAAGACUAGGGUGUAAGUGAUAUAUUUGUUAAAGAGAAAUCAGUGGGAACACCAACAUAUAUAUAACUUCCCUCGUUUCAUUGAGUACUGACAUAUAUAAUAUACGAGAACAAAUUGAAAGAGUGUGUAUUUUCUAUAAUGUUCAUAUGUGCCCCAAAUAACAUCGUGUGUGUGUGUGAACGUCAUUACAUAAACUGCUUGAUAAACGAAUUACGUAUUGACAAAUAAAUUUGAAACUCAACAUAUACCCUCAUGACAUAUCAUGUAUGUUCUAUGUCCCUUUGGAAUUUCAACCAAAGAUGAAGAACUGGAUCUUCCAUCACUGUAAUAGAUACCUAAACUACAUAAGUGUCCUUACAAACAAAGGUAUAUUGCUGGGUCUUCCAAGUGCUCCACGAAACCUCUUUCCAAAUUAUUAACAUCUAUUUUAUCAGCAAUCAAAGACGGGCUUCAAAGUUAUUGUGAAACUGCCUAUUCUAGAGGUGGCGUGAAUCAGAUGUGUAAAAGAUCUUUUAGAGUACAAACAAUCUAACUCUCUUUCAUCUUGUAACAGUAUUAAAACAUUUGACUUUUCUACUCUUUACACAAGUAUUCCAAGUAUUCCACAUUUCAAACUAAAAGACAUAUUGCAAGAGUUCGUAUUGCUUUGCUUCACAAAAAAGAAUGGCCCACGUAGAUACAAGUAUCUUGUCUUAGGGUGAGAUAAAACUUACUUUGUAAAGGAUCACUUUGAUUCAAACAAAUUAUCUGAAACUGAUAUCAUCAAAAUGCUUGAUUUCUUGAAUGGCAACAUAUUUGUUACGUUCGGAGGACGUGUUUUACAACAGACGUUCGGCAUUCCAAUGGGAACAAACUGUGCCCCUCUACUUGCCGACUUGUUUCUUUAUAAUUAUGAGGCUGACUCCAUGUAGGAAUUUCUUAGGAAGAAAGAUAAAAAGUUAGUAAUAUCCUUUAACUCUACUUUCCCCUAUAUAGAUGAUGUUCUUUCACUAAAUAAUUCAAAAUUUGGUGACUAUGUGGAAUGCAUCAAUCCAAUCGAACUGGAGAUAAAGGAUACUACAGAUACAGUUAAUAUAAAAAAGAAAGAUGUGGUAUUGGCAACGAGACAACUAUCCGUAAAAGACCAAAAUGACACAAACAUUAACAAUUAUUAACAAUUAACCGUACGGCCUUCAACAAUGAGCAAAGCCCAUACCGCAUAGUCAGCUAUAAAAGGUCCCGAUAACACAAUGUAAAACAAUUCAAACGAGAAAACUAACGGCCUUAUUUAUGUAAAUAAAAAAAUUAACGAAAUACAAAUAUGUAACACAUAAACAAACGACAACCACUGAAUUACAGGCUCCUGACUUGGGACAGGCACAUAAAUAAAUAGCGUUGCGGGGUUAAACAUGUUAGCGGGAUCCCAACCCUCCCCUAACCUGAGACAGUGGUAUAACAGUACAAGUCGGCUUCAUAUCUUGAACUACAUCUAGAAAUUAACAACAAGGGUCGGUUGAAAACAAAACUCUACGACAAAAGAGAUGAUUUCAACUUUCCAUUUCUAAGUAGCAGCAUUCCAGCAGCACCUGCAUACGGGGUAUGUAUCUCCCAAUAGAUACGAUAUUCCCUUGCUUGCCUUUCCUACCAUGAUUUUUUUGAUAGGGGGUUGCUGCUCACAAGAGUUCCAAAUGGUGAAGUUGAAAUCAUCACAUCUUAAAUUAAUCACAUAAGCAACACGACGGGUGCCACAUGUACAAAAAAUGAUGUAGAGCAAGAUCUGCUUGCCCUUCCGGAGCACCUUAAAUGACCCCUAGUUUUUGGUUAGGUUCGUGUUGUUUAUUCUUUAGUUUGCAAUGUUGUUUCAUGUUUACUAUUGUUUGUCUGUUUGUCUUUUUCAUUUUUAGCUAUGGCGUUGUCAGUUUUUUUUUAGAUUUAUGUGUUUGAAUGUCCCUUUGGUAUCUAUCGUCCCUAUUUUAAGUGUUAAACAAAAAAAUGGUACAUUCAUGUUUUAGAUGCAUGACCGAACUGUUUUUUUUUUAAUUCGAUUAAAUGACUAUAGAUAUAGAAAGAUGUGGUAUGAGUGCCAAUGAGACAUAUAAAAAUAAACCAUUACAGGUGAAGGUAGGUCUUUAACACGGAGCUUUGACUCACACCAAACAGCAAGCUAUAAAGGUCCCCAAAACAUUACUAGUGUAAAUAAACUCAUCAUAGAUACUAGGACUAAAUUCUAAAUAUACGCCAAACGCGCGUUUCGUCUGAAAAAGACUCAUCAGUGACGCUCGAAUCCACAAAAGUUGAAAAAAAGGCUAAAUAAAGUACGAAGUUUUGAAGAGCAUUGAGAUCCAAAAUUCCUAAAAGUGUUGCCAUAUACAGCUAAGGUAAUAUAUGCCUGAUGUAGACAAGCCUUAGUAUUUAAAAACUUCAAAUUUUGUUAACAGCUAAUUUAUAAAUAUAACAAUAUAAAUGAUAAGUCAUGUCAGCAAAAAAUGCUAACUACUGAUACCCUCGGGGAAAUAAAUCGAGCCAGUUGUUGUAAACAAACUCAUCAUAAAUACCAGGACUAAAUUUUAAAUAUACCCCUGAUAUACCGUUUAGGGAUAAUAAGAGACAACUUGUACAUUAAUACAUUAGUCUUAUAUUUGGAACAUUUGGGAUUAAUAUCAACAUUAAACUUAAAAAUUGGUGCGCCAUAAAUGUUCGUAUUUUACAUGUACAGGUUCUAAGACUUUAAAAAAUAGGAAAUAUCAAGUAAUAUCAAACAAUCGAAGCUGGUAUAUAUACCAGACAUAUUCGACACGUCUAACCUAUAGUGAUGAUCGUACGUAGUUGAUCCUGUAACAAUGGCUCCCAAGUAUACAUUUUAAAAAGUUUUUUUUUUUUAACAAAUUAAUCAGAGAAAAUAUUAGUUUUUGCAUGUUUUUAUGUUUAGAUGCAUUCCAUGAUGUUCUUGUUUCAUUUCUAGCGGAAACAGUUA